UACGUAGGCAGCAAGCGUUGUUCGGAAUUACUGGGCGUAAAGAGUGUGUAGGCGGUGUUCUAAGUCUGUUGUGAAAACCCACGGCUCAACUGUGGGCUUGCAUUCGAUACGGGCAGGCUAGAGUUCGGUAGGGGAGACUGGAAUUCCUGGUGUAGCGGUGAAAUGCGCAGAUAUCAGGAGGAACACCGGUGGCGAAGGCGGGUCUCUGGGCCGAUACUGACGCUGAGAAGCGAAAGCGUGGGGAGCGAACAGG
rnacentral:rRNA from 1 species